rnacentral:lncRNA from 1 species
UGAAAACUCCAUACACUUUAAAGACAAAUUUUAUGUAUAGCAUAUGAUUAAAAAUUACUCAAUAUGUAUAAAACUAGAGAGUGAUUCAUAACCAGAAUAAAAACUGUCUAUGGAAAUAGUCUCGGAGAUGACACAGAAACUGGAAUUAGCAGACAAUGACUUUAAAACAAUUAUCAUAAAUAAGUUUAAGGACUUGAAGGAAAAUAUGGACAAUGACUGAAGAGAGGAGGGAUUUCAGCACAGAAGUUGAAACUAUAAAAACCAAACAGAAUCCUAGAACUCAAAAAUGUAACAUGUAAAAUGGGAAAUUUAUUGGGGGGUUUAAGAGAAGAUUGAACAUCACAGAAGAGGGGAGCAAUGAACUUGAAGACAAGUCAAAAGAGAAUUUUAAAAAUUGAAGCAUGAAUAAAAGAAAUACUAAAAACAAGGAGAGCCUUAUAAACCUGCAGCACCA